UAGUUGCAAUCAUUUGGAUGUAUACUGGUACCAGGAUAAUUACUGCCAAACACGUGUCCAAAAGACUGCCCUGGGCCUUGGUCUUGCCCUGGCUGUGCUCUUUGUGGUCAGUACCAUCCUGACUGUGUUCCUCAUCCGAAACAAUCAAAAAAAAUUUAAGAACAGAUGGUUUGAUGAUACUGAAGUCUGGUAUGGACAAGAAACAGAAGAAGAGUGGAUACCAUCUGUGGGCCUGAUCAUCAUAAAUGAACCAGAAAUUUCAUCCUGGAAUGAACAUCAAAAACAAAAUAAAACCCUGAAACCAUAUUUCAGCUCAGAAGAUACUUCAAUACAGAAACCAACAAUAGCAGCUAACUACCGAUUUUCUACUGAGACAACCAACAAGUUUAUGCCUGAUUUUCAGAGCUAACAUAAAUGUAUUGGCAAAUAAACUGCGAUAUCAAUAAAAAUCUGAUUGUUGGGAACCUGGUUCCCUGAAACUGUGCAAUAUCUAAUUUAUUUUUUAAAAAACCUCAAUAAUCCUAUAUAAUUAACUGCAUAUAUUUAAGGUAUAAUAUUCCCAUAGAUACUUAUUUAUUAAUCCAAUUAUAUUAAUAUUAUGUUAUAUACACUUAAAUUUGUAAUUUAAUAUAUGUAUAUUUUAUAUAUGAAUAAAAUAGUUAAAAAUGAAUUUUGGUAAUGUUUAUGGAGUAAUAUGCUUAGAUAUGCUUGGCUUUACAAGACCAGCUAGAAAGACCUGCACAUGGAUUAGAGAACAAAUGAAAGUAUACGAUAUCAUCAAGAGAGUAAAAGCAUUGAAAUG